rnacentral:ribozyme from 1 species
UGCCCAGCAACUCCUAUCCUUACCUCCACGCGGUACCGGCCGGAAACUAUGAGCAACCUUAGGGAAGAUCGGGUAACCAACCCCGGUGGGAACUUUGGUCGUAGGCUGACAGGGAAGA